rnacentral:tRNA from 1 species
AUUUACAUAAUAUAAAAAGUAUAUAUAACUUCCAAUUAUAAAGUCUAAGUUUUAGUGUAAAUA